AUUGAACGCUGGCGGCAGGCUUAACACAUGCAAGUCGAGCGGUAACAGAUCCAGCUUGCUGGAUGCUGACGAGCGGCGGACGGGUGAGUAAUGCAUAGGAAUCUGCCCAGUAGUUGGGGAUAGCCCGGGGAAACCCGGAUUAAUACCGAAUACGCCCUACGGGGGAAAGCAGGGGAUCUUCGGACCUUGCGCUAUUGGAUGAGCCUAUGUCGGAUUAGCUAGUUGGUGGGGUAAUGGCCUACCAAGGCGACGAUCCGUAGCUGGUCUGAGAGGAUGAUCAGCCACAUCGGGACUGAGACACGGCCCGAACUCCUACGGGAGGCAACAGUGGGGAAUAUUGGACAAUGGGGGCAACCCUGAUCCAGCCAUGCCGCGUGUGUGAAGAAGGCUUUCGGGUUGUAAAGCACUUUCAGUGAGGAGGAAAACCUUAUGGCUAAUAUCCAUGAGGCUUGACGUUACUCACAGAAGAAGCACCGGCUAACUCCGUGCCAGCAGCCGCGGUAAUACGGAGGGUGCAAGCGUUAAUCGGAAUUACUGGGCGUAAAGCGCGCGUAGGUGGUUUGGUAAGCGAGAUGUGAAAGCCCCGGGCUUAACCUGGGAACGGCAUUUCGAACUGUCAGACUAGAGUGUGGUAGA
rnacentral:rRNA from 1 species